rnacentral:rRNA from 1 species
UACGAAGGGGGCUAGCGUUGUUCGGAAUUACUGGGCGUAAAGCGUGCGCAGGCGGCUUCUCAAGUCAGGGGUGAAAGCCCAGAGCUCAACUCUGGAAUUGCCUUUGAGACUGAGUGGCUUGAGUACGAGAGAGGUGAGUGGAAUUCCCAGUGUAGAGGUGAAAUUCGUAGAUAUUGGGAAGAACACCGGUGGCGAAGGCGGCUCACUGGCUCGGUACUGACGCUGAGGUGCGAAAGCGUGGGGAGCAAACAGG